rnacentral:rRNA from 1 species
AACGAACGCUGGCGGCAGGCCUAACACAUGCAAGUCGAGCGAGACCUUCGGGUCUAGCGGCGGACGGGUUAGUAACGCGUGGGAACGUGCCCUUCUCUACGGAAUAGUCCCGGGAAACUGGGUUUAAUACCGUAUACGCCCUUUCGGGGGGAAAGAUUUAUCGGAGAAGGAUCGGCCCGCGUUGGAUUAGGUAGUUGGUGGGGUAAUGGCCUACCAAGCCUACGAUCCAUAGCUGGUUUGAGAGGAUGAUCAGCAACACUGGGACUGAGACACGGCCCAGACUCCUACGGGAGGCAGCAGUGGGGAAUCUUCGGCAAUGGGCGCAAGCCUGACCGAGCCAUGCCGCGUGAGCGAUGAAGGCCUUAGGGUUGUAAAGCUCUUUCGCCAGGGAUGAUAAU